GGUGAGUCUGAAUAACUUAGCAGAUCGCACGGUCUAGCACCGGCGACGAAUCUUUCAAAUGUCUGCCUUAUCAACUGUCGAUGGUAGUUUACAUGCCUACCAUGGUGAUAACGGGUAACAGAGAAUAAGGGUUUGACUCUGGAGAGGCAGCCUGAGAGACGGCUACCACAUCC
rnacentral:rRNA from 3 species